GAUGAACGCUGGCGGCGUGCUUAACACAUGCAAGUCGAACGGAGUGCCUUAGAAAGAGGAUUCGUCCAAUUGAUAAGGUUACUUAGUGGCGGACGGGUGAGUAACGCGUGAGGAACCUGCCUUGGAGUGGGGAAUAACAGACCGAAAGGCCUGCUAAUACCGCAUGAUGCAGUUGGACCGCAUGGUCCUGACUGCCAAAGAUUUAUCGCUCUGAGAUGGCCUCGCGUCUGAUUAGCUUGUUGGCGGGGUAAUGGCCCACCAAGGCGACGAUCAGUAGCCGGACUGAGAGGUUGGCCGGCCACAUUGGGACUGAGACACGGCCCAGACUCCUACGGGAGGCAGCAGUGGGGAAUAUUGGGCAAUGGGCGCAAGCCUGACCCAGCAACGCCGCGUGAAGGAAGAAGGCUUUCGGGUUGUAAACUUCUUUUCUCAGGGACGAACAAAUGACGGUACCUGAGGAA
rnacentral:rRNA from 1 species